rnacentral:lncRNA from 1 species
AGGGAUCCUCCAGCCUCAGUCCCCCAAGUAGGUGGGUCUACAGAGAACAACUACCAAAUAAAUCAUUGUGUGGAAAAGAAUUGAUUUGGGAAUCAAUUGUCUGGGAAAGAAAAUCACAAAGAAGUGAUUGUGAAGACAUUCAUUUGUUCUUCAGAUAUGUAACUGUUUAAUCUGAAGUAAACUUUGGGAUGGAAAACUAUUAGGAACGUUUCUUGCUUAAUUUUGCCAUUGUACGCUCUGAUAUUGAUUGUUCAGGAUUAUUGAGCACACAUGCUGUAAUGAGAAUUGUAUAUAAUUUACUAUAUAUACUUACAUAUGAUAGACAUUAAAGGAUAUAUGUGUCUAGUAAUAGCAGAUGCAUGUUUCUGCCCACUAAAGAAAUGGUUGCAGCUUUUAAUAAAUAUGGCUAAGGGAAUGAUGUUAAGAUUACGUGUGUGUGUGUGUGUGUGUGUGUGUGUGUGCAUGCACAUAUUGUUCUGGAUUUCAAAUGAGUAUACAAAAUUAUCAUUAUCUUACACCACUUGCAUUGGGAUCUUCAGUUUUUCCUUCAAGAAGUGAAUUAUUAAUAAUAUAUUUAACUUUUAGAGUAUUAUUGUGGUAGGACUCGCCAGUUUCUUGCUACAACAUCUAUUCAUCCCUUUCUCUUUAGAAACAAACUAGAAUUUUUAUAUUGCUUCCCAUAAUAAAAAACAUAUUGCCUUCCAGAUUUUGCAGCUAAAUUUGGCUAUGGGACUAAAUUCUGGCCUUGAGUUGUUUAAGAGAGAUACUUGUGAGAGUUCUCUGAAGAUUGGUCAAAGGAAACUAACUCAGAUGGAAGAUCCAUUUGCCCUCCUGCCUUUCCUCUUAGCUUUUAGCCUGAAAAUCAGUGGUGAUGGCUGGAGAGCCAAUAGCCAUCUUGGAACACGACGUGAUUCUGAAGGUGGGAAGCAAGGCUGGGAUGGUACAGAAUAAAGAUAGGAACUUGGGUCCUUGAGAAAAUUGUGGAGCCACCAUAUCUACCUGUAAUUCCUACUUUCAGACCUUUUUCUAUGUGUGAGAGAUUUAUCUUAUUUAAGUCAUUGUUAUUUUUGUUGUUAAUACUGUUGUUGUUAAGCUAGCAUUCUAGUUGAGCCCAAGCUAGGACUCAGAGUCUGGUUAUAUCUGAUGAGCCCCUGGAUCAGCAUCCCUCAAUGCCAACUAUUAAAUGUAAUGGGUUAAUGAUGAAUGGAACUCUAUUUCACGUAACAAAGAACAACUUGUUAUGCCCAAAUAUUACGAGGUCAUAUUGCUCUUAUUUCUCUCUAACCUGAGAUUUGGGUCCGUGUUCUCUAUGAGAAAUUAGAAAUUUCUGUUGUGGUAUUCUGUUUUUGUGUUAGGAUCGUCACUGUAAAUCUACUUAAUAGUAAAAAUAAAAUCUUGCUUGGAAUUGUGAAUUAAAUGAAUUCUCCAUUGUGCAGAAACAGGAACAGCAUUAUAUUUUGUAUGUAAUACUCUUAAACAGUCAAUUCAUUUAUUCAAUUAAUAUUUUUGAGCUAUUAUGGGUUACAUAAGUUAUGGAGGGGCUUUGUUAUUUAGUCAACUCAUGUCCAAUAUCACAGGGGUCAGUUGUGAAUUUGGAAAAAAUAGAAGAAAAGAAAAAUUAAAGCAAAUGACAAAAGUCUAAAUAUUUUCCU